GACGAACGCUGGCGGCGUGCUUAACACAUGCAAGUCGAACGGAAAGGCGCUGCUCUUGUGGGGUGCUCGUUUGGCGAACGCGUGAGUAACACGUGAGUAACCUGCCCUUGACUGUGGGAUAACUUCAGGAAACACCGGCUAAUACCGGAUAGGAUCUCCUGCUGCAUGUUGUUGAUUGGAAAGUUGCGGCGGUUGGGGAUGGACUAGAGGCUUAUCAGCUUGUUGGUGAGGUAGCGGCUUACCAAGGGUUUGACGGAUAGCCGGCCUGAGAGGGGGACCGGGCACAAUGGUCCUAAGGUACGGAGCAGACGCGAAUGGGACGCAGCAGGGGAGAGUAUUACAGAGUGAGCGGGCGUGUGAGGCAGAAGUGCCGCGUGCGGGAUACUGGGUUUUUGGGGGAAAACCGAUGUCGCAUGUGACGAACAGAGAGUGACGGUAAUGGGUAAGGAAGCACCGGCUAACUACGUG
rnacentral:rRNA from 1 species